UACAGAGGGUGCAAACGUUGCUCGGAAUUAUUGGGCGUAAAGCGCGUGUAGGCGGCUUGUUAAGUCGGUUGUGAAAACCCAUGGCUCAACCAUGGAAGGGCGUCCGAAACUGGCAAGCUAGAGUCCCGACGAGGAUGGCGGAAUUCCCAGUGUAGAGGUGAAAUUCGUAGAUAUUGGGAGGAACACCAGUGGCGAAGGCGACUUCCUGGCCUGUUCUUGACGCUGAGGCGCGAAAGCUAGGGGAGCAAACGGG
rnacentral:rRNA from 1 species